CGGGUGAGUAACACGUGGAUAACCUACCUAUAAGACUGGGAUAACUUCGGGAAACCGGAGCUAAUACCGGAUAAUAUAUUGAACCGCAUGGUUCAAUAGUGAAAGACGGUUUUGCUGUCACUUAUAGAUGGAUCCGCGCCGCAUUAGCUAGUUGGUAAGGUAACGGCUUACCAAGGCAACGAUGCGUAGCCGACCUGAGAGGGUGAUCGGCCACACUGGAACUGANACACGGUCCAGACUCCUACGGGAGGCAGCAGCU
rnacentral:rRNA from 1 species